GAUAUUUUAAAGGGCCCUCGCUGGCGUGGCUCAGUAUAUUGAGAGCCAGCCUGCGAACCAAAGGGUCCCCAGUUCGAUUCCCAGCCAGG